CACAGGCUGUACAGGAAGCCUAGCUGGGGAGGCCUCAGGAAACUUACAAUCAUGGCGGAAGGCAAAGGGGAGGGAGGCACUUCUUCCAUGGCUGGAGAAGGAGGAAGGGAGCAAAGGGGGAGGUGCUAUGUACGUUUAAACAACGAGACCCUGUGAGCACUCCUUCACUAUCAUGAGAACAGAAAGGGGGAGCUCCACCCCCAUGAUCCAAUCAGCUCCCACCAGGCCCCUCUUCCAACAUUAGGAAUUACAAGUAGAUGUGAGAUUGGGGCAGG
rnacentral:lncRNA from 1 species